rnacentral:rRNA from 2 species
GAACGAACUCUGGUAUUGAUUGGUGCUUGCAUCAUGAUUUACAUUUGAGUGAGUGGCGAACUGGUGAGUAACACGUGGGAAACCUGCCCAGAAGCGGGGGAUAACACCUGGAAACAGAUGCUAAUACCGCAUAACAACUUGGACCGCAUGGUCCGAGUUUGAAAGAUGGCUUCGGCUAUCACUUUUGGAUGGUCCCGCGGCGUAUUAGCUAGAUGGUGGGGUAACGGCUCACCAUGGCAAUGAUACGUAGCCGACCUGAGAGGGUAAUCGGCCACAUUGGGACUGAGACACGGCCCAAACUCCUACGGGAGGCAGCAGUAGGGAAUCUUCCACAAUGGACGAAAGUCUGAUGGAGCAACGCCGCGUGAGUGAAGAAGGGUUUCGGCUCGUAAAACUCUGUUGUUAAAGAAGAACAUAUCUGAGAGUAACUGUUCAGGUAUUGACGGUAUUUAACCAGAAAGCCACGGCUAACUACGUGCCAGCAGCCGCGGUAAUACGUAGGUGGCAAGCGUUGUCCGGAUUUAUUGGGCGUAAAGCGAGCGCAGGCGGUUUUUUAAGUCUGAUGUGAAAGCCUUCGGCUCAACCGAAGAAGUGCAUCGGAAACUGGGAAACUUGAGUGCAGAAGAGGACAGUGGAACUCCAUGUGUAGCGGUGAAAUGCGUAGAUAUAUGGAAGAACACCAGUGGCGAAGGCGGCUGUCUGGUCUGUAACUGACGCUGAGGCUCGAAAGUAUGGGUAGCAAACAGGAUUAGAUACCCUGGUAGUCCAUACCGUAAACGAUGAAUGCUAAGUGUUGGAGGGUUUCCGCCCUUCAGUGCUGCAGCUAACGCAUUAAGCAUUCCGCCUGGGGAGUACGGCCGCAAGGCUGAAACUCAAAGGAAUUGACGGGGGCCCGCACAAGCGGUGGAGCAUGUGGUUUAAUUCGAAGCUACGCGAAGAACCUUACCAGGUCUUGACAUACUAUGCAAAUCUAAGAGAUUAGACGUUCCCUUCGGGGACAUGGAUACAGGUGGUGCAUGGUUGUCGUCAGCUCGUGUCGUGAGAUGUUGGGUUAAGUCCCGCAACGAGCGCAACCCUUAUUAUCAGUUGCCAGCAUUAAGUUGGGCACUCUGGUGAGACUGCCGGUGACAAACCGGAGGAAGGUGGGGAUGACGUCAAAUCAUCAUGCCCCUUAUGACCUGGGCUACACACGUGCUACAAUGGAUGGUACAACGAGUUGCGAACUCGCGAGAGUAAGCUAAUCUCUUAAAGCCAUUCUCAGUUCGGAUUGUAGGCUGCAACUCGCCUACAUGAAGUCGGAAUCGCUAGUAAUCGCGGAUCAGCAUGCCGCGGUGAAUACGUUCCCGGGCCUUGUACACACCGCCCGUCACACCAUGAGAGUUUGUAACACCCAAAGUCGGUGGGGUAA